rnacentral:rRNA from 1 species
GCUAACUACGUGCCAGCAGCCGCGGUAAUACGUAGGUGGCAAGCGUUGUCCGGAAUUAUUGGGCGUAAAGGGCUCGCAGGCGGUUUCUUAAGUCUGAUGUGAAAGCCCCCGGCUCAACCGGGGAGGGUCAUUGGAAACUGGGGAACUUGAGUGCAGAAGAGGAGAGUGGAAUUCCACGUGUAGCGGUGAAAUGCGUAGAGAUGUGGAGGAACACCAGUGGCGAAGGCGACUCUCUGGUCUGUAACUGACGCUGAGGAGCGAAAGCGUGGGGAGCGAACAGGAUUAGAUACCCUGGUAGUCCACGCCGUAAACGAUGAGUGCUAAGUGUUAGGGGGUUUCCGCCCCUUAGUGCUGCAGCUAACGCAUUAAGCAUUCCGCCCGGGAUCCCCCUCCCCCAGCC